rnacentral:rRNA from 1 species
AGGAUAAACGCUGGCGGCGUGCCUAACACAUGCAAGUCGAACGCGCUUUCGGGCUUCGGUGCGAGAGCGAGUGGCGGACGGGUGAGUAACACAUGGGUACCUACCUUGGAGUGAGGGAUACCGGCGAGAAAUCGCCGACAAUACCGCAUAGGCUUCUUCACAAGGGAAGCAAAGUGACGCGAGUCACACUUUGAGAUGGGCCUGUGGCCGAUUAGCUAGUUGGGGGGGUAACGGCUUCCCAAGGCGACGAUCGGUAGCUGGUCUGAGAGGACGAUCAGCCACACUGGGAUUGAGAACGGCCCAGACUCCUACGGGGGGCAGCAGUGAGGAAUUUUCCGCAAUGGAGGCAACUCUGACGGAGCAACGCCGCGUGCAGGAGGAAGGUUUUCGGAUCGUAAACUGCUUUUCUCGGGGACGAGCGAAGGACGGGUACCCGAGGGAACGAACGGCCCCGGACUAACGUACGUGCCAGCAGCCGC